rnacentral:rRNA from 1 species
UACGUAGGGACCAAGCGUUGUUCGGAUUUACUGGGCGUAAAGGGCGCGUAGGCGGCAAAUUAAGUCAGCUGUGAAAUCUCCGGGCUUAACUCGGAAAGGUCAACUGAUACUGUGCGACUAGAGUGCAGAAGGGGCAACUGGAAUUCUCGGUGUAGCGGUGAAAUGCGUAGAUAUCGAGAGGAACACCUGCGGCGAAGGCGGGUUGCUGGGCUGACACUGACGCUGAUGCGCGAAAGCCAGGGGAGCGAACGGG